rnacentral:rRNA from 1 species
UACGUAGGGUGCGAGCGUUGUUCGGAAUUACUGGGCGUAAAGGGAGCGUAGGCGGGUUAUCAAGUUGGAGGUGAAAGCCCAGGGCUCAACCUUGGAAUUGCCUUCAAAACUGAUAGCCUAGAGUAUGAUAGAGGUAAGUGGAACUCCGAGUGUAGAGGUGAAAUUCGUAGAUAUUCGGAAGAACACCAGUGGCGAAGGCGACUUACUGGAUCAUGACUGACGCUGAGGCUCGAAAGCGUGGGGAGCAAACAGG